UACAGAGGUCCCAAGCGUUGUUCGGAUUCACUGGGCGUAAAGGGCGCGUAGGCGGCUUGGCAAGUGGAAGGUGAAAUCCCUCGGCUUAACCGAGGAACUGCCCUCCAAACUGCUUCGCUUGAGACCGGGAGAGGUGAGUGGAAUUCCCAGUGUAGCGGUGAAAUGCGUAGAUAUUGGGAGGAACACCAGUGGCGAAGGCGGCUCACUGGACCGGUACUGACGCUGAUGCGCGAAAGCGUGGGGAGCAAACAGG
rnacentral:rRNA from 1 species